rnacentral:rRNA from 1 species
CGGGUGAGUAACGCGUGAGGAACCUGCCUCAGAGAGGGGGAUAACACACCGAAAGGUGUGCUAAUACCGCAUAACAUAUGAGAGGGGCAUCCCUUUUAUAUCAAAGGUUUAUUGCUCUGAGAUGGCCUCGCGUCCAAUUAGCUAGUUGGUGAGGUAACGGCCCACUAAGGCGACGAUUGGUAGCCGGACUGAGAGGUUGAACGGCCACAUUGGGACUGAGACACGGCCCAGACUCCUACGGAAGGCAGCAG